GGAAACAUGAUGCUCAAGUGAAAGCUGCUAACUUAUCACUCUAGCGGUUAAAAUCCGUUUAUGUUUCUA
rnacentral:tRNA from 1 species